rnacentral:rRNA from 1 species
UGGGGAAUUUUGGACAAUGGGGGAAACCCUGAUCCAGCCAUCCCGCGUGUGCGAUGAAGGCCUUCGGGUUGUAAAGCACUUUUGGCAGGAAAGAAACGUCAUGGGUUAAUACCCCGUGAAACUGACGGUACCUGCAGAAUAAGCACCGGCUAACUACGUGCCAGCAGCCGCGGUAAUACGUAGGGUGCAAGCGUUAAUCGGAAUUACUGGGCGUAAAGCGUGCGCAGGCGGUUCGGAAAGAAAGAUGUGAAAUCCCAGAGCUCAACUUUGGAACUGCAUUUUUAACUACCGGGCUAGAGUGUGUCAGAGGGAGAUGGAAUUCCGCGUGUAGCAGUGAAAUGCGUAGAUAUGAGGAGGAACACCGAUGGCGAAGGCAGCCUCCUGGGAUAACACUGACGCUCAUGCACGAAAGCGUGGGGAGCAAACAGG